UUCACAGACUGGUGCAAAACCUAAGUCCUCUCCUGCAACCGAGAAGUCAUUGUUCAGUGUGAGUUUUGAUAUAUAUAAGAAGGAAUACU